rnacentral:lncRNA from 1 species
CUUAACUAUUUUGUUAAAUAAUGUUGUCCAAAGACUACUACAAAUUUGACUUUUUUGUUAUGAGUUAUCUAUAAGAGCACUUUAGUACAUGUAUGUAGUACAAAUGGUUAUGCCAUCCUUCUACCAAGAAUUCUCUGAAAAAAAACAGCUGUCAACUUGUGAGAGAAAUAAAUCAUGCCCUUUGCAUGUCAAUAUAUAACUCAAUUACAUGUUGCUUUUAUUUCUGAAUUUCUGUGGUUUAAUGAUUAUGAUAUAUUUUCUUUUAUUUCAUUUUUAGCUUAAUUUAUUUAUUUUCUCAUCAAUCAUUAUAAAGUCAUUCCAGUCAUAUGAAAAAUUUCAAAAGCUUCAUUAUUCAAAAUCAUAACAGAAUGCUAUGUUGUCAAGCUUAAGGCUGUAUAUAUUAUUAUUGUUUGGUUGAACUGUAUUUAUGAUCAGAGUCAAAAGAUGAAGGUACCAAAUGACAACUUUAUAGUAUGUGAAUUCUGACUUCAGAGUGUUAACAAAUCAUGAUUCAUUUUGAUUUUUUCUGAUUAUUACACAAAUUUAAUAUUCACAAAUAUUUAUGUUUUAUUUUCAUAUGUCAUAAUGUAACUUUAACUCUUUAUCCUGAGUUGGUUUAAGAGAGAACAGAAAUUUAUUUUAAUGUUGCCUAAUUUUGACAUAUCAUUAAUAUACAGAUAUCAGUAUCAACCUUAUCCAACAACUGUGUUCAAUGGAAACAAUUGCCUGUAUGAUGAAUUCACAUUGGCUUUGUCCAAUCAAUUGUCUUCUUAGGCAUUUUUACUAUUGGCAGUUAAACAGGCUUUGAUGGCAGCCAUCUUUAUAUUAUUACAAAGUUCUUCAUUUGAAAUAGGUUACAAGUAAAUGUUUAGUCUUUUGAUAAUACAUGUAUUAACAAGCACAUUGAAUAACAGUUAAUAUUUUAGGAAUUAAUAAUUAUCUGAUACAGACAGAGCUAGAAUUUCACUACACAAUUCUGACAUUUUAUGUUGAUUGUAAAUUAUUAGAAUUGUGAUAUAAUUAUACAAUUCGGUUGUUAUCUGCUCUAUGGUUGGGUUGUUGUCGCUUUGACACAUUCCUCAUUUCCUUUCUCAAUUUUACUUGGUAGAUUUCAGUGGUAAGGUUGAUUAGGAAAACCUAUUUCAUAUAUAUAUAUUUUAUAACAUAAUAAUGAACUUCAAUAAAUUAAUCAUCAUCAACCUUAUUUGGCAAUAUUGUUUUCUCCAAUAAAUGGCAAACAUUGAAAUGUCCAACAGCUAACACAUAGUACACUUUGGUAUUGAUUAAUGCUUCUAAGAUAUUUUUGAGAUAAGUUUAAUAUAAUGAAUUGAAUUUGCAAUUUUCAUAUUUGUUCUUUGAGUACCAGCAUGGGACCAAGGUGCCUUCAUCAUUGAUGUUUAAUUAGUUAUACAACUUUUGACCAGCUUUUUCUUUUUAUUUGCAGAAGAGCUUGCACAUACAUUCCUUUUUUGUAAAUGCUUUUAUAGCAGCUGGUGCUGCAAUUAUUGUUUUAAAUCAUCAGUGUUGUAAAAUAUAUUCUGAAAAAGGAACCAAAAAAAAUGAGUAACACAAUUAUUGUUUAUGGCACAAUAACUUGAUUUAUACAUACAACCGCUUGUCCUUCUCAUUGGAUUUCCUGGCCUUCAUUUCACAACAAAUUCUUACAACAAAAGUCAUGAACAAUUCAGUAUACUUGUGAUCAAUUUAAGACCUUACAUUUUUUGUGAAACUCAGCUUUGUUACUGCCUCACAUACCAUCCACAUUUAUUUAUACUUCUACAAUUUUUGGUGCUUAUAUCAUGCAUUUGUGAGAAAAAAUAGUCAAACUUUGUUGAGAUGAAAUUUAUCUUUAGUUGACUCCAUUGAUUUUUUGAAAUAAUUUCAAUAUAUAUUUAUUAUAUGCUUAAACAGUUUUUGUUCAACUGUGUCAUCAUGACCUUCAUUUUAUACUUUACCAGCAAAAAAUUUUGCAUUUCAGUCCUAUUUUUAGCUCACCUGGCCCAAAGGGCCAAGUGAGCUUUUCCCAUCACUUUGCGUCCGUCGUUCGUCGUCAUUGUUAACUUUUACAAAAAUCUUCUCCUCUGAAACUACUGGGCCAAAUUAAACUAAACUUGGCCACAAUCAUCAUUGGGGUAUCCGGUGUCCCGGCCAACCAACCAAGAUAGCCGCCAUGGCUAAAAAUAGAACAUAGGGGUAAAUGCAGUUUUUGGCUUUAUACUCAAAAACCAAAGCAUUUAGAGCAAAUCUGACAGGGUAAAAUUGUUUAUCAGGUCAAGAUCUAUCUGUCCUGUAAUUUUCAGAUGAAUUGGGCAACCCGUUGUUGGGUUGCUACCCCUGAAUUGGUAAUUUUAAGGAAAUUUUGCUGAUUUUUGUUAUUAUUUUGAAUAUUAUUAUAGAUAGAGAUUGAAAUGGUCAGAUUACCCCUUUAGGAGUUAUUGCCCUUUACAGUCAAUUUUUAACCAUUUUUCGUAAAUCUUAGUCACCUUUAACAAAAAUCUUCUUCUCUGAAACUACUUGGCCAAAUUUAACUAAACUUAGCCACAAUCAUCAUUGGGGUAUCUAGUUUAAAAAUUGUAUCCGGUGACCCGGCCAACCAACCAAGAUGGCCACCAUGGCUAAAAAUAGAACAUAGGGGUGAAAUGUAGAUUUUGGCUUAUAACUCUGAAACCGCAGCCUUUAGAGCAAAUCUGACAUGGGGUAAAAUUGUUUAUCAGGUCAAGAUCUAUCUGCCCUGAAAUUUUCAGAUGAAUCUGACAACCUGUUAGUGGGUUGCUCUCCCUGAAUUGGUAAUUUUAAGGAAAUUUUGCUGUUUUUGGUUAUUAUCUUGAAUAUUAUUAUAGAUAGAGAUAAACUGUAAACAUCAAUAAUGUUAAGUAAAGUAAGAGUUACAAAUAAGUCAACAUGACGGAAAUGGUCAAUUGACCCCUAAGGAGUUAUUGUCCUUUAUAGUCAAUUUUUAACAAUUUUCAUAAAAUUUGUAAAUUUUAACUAAUAUUUUCCACUGAAACUACUUGGCCAAGUUCAUUAUAGAUAAGAAGCAAGAAUGUUCAGUAAAGUGAGAUGUACAAACACAUCACCAUCACCAAAACACAAUUUUGUCAUGAAUCCAUGUGCUUCCUUUGUUUAAUAUUCACAUAGACCAAGGUGAUCGACACAGGCUCUUUAGAGCCUCUAGUUGAUAUUUUUAUUUUGUUUACAAGGGUAUGUGUGUAACAAGAAGUUAACCGAGUUGGCACAUUAUUUCGAAGAAUUGACGUUGUGGCUUUUAAGUUGAAACCAAGAAAAUGAUUGACCUACGUUUCCAUACAUGUACUAGGAAUAUAGGACACAUCAAUCCUUUUUCGGUAUGUCAAUUAUUGCUGAUGGUUUAAAUGUAGUUAUAUUUGCCAAACCACACAACGAUUUAUACUUUUGAUACAUUGAUUCAGCAGAAUUCAAAUACAAAUGAAAAGAACUUGAUAUAAAAUUGUUUUGUUUUCCUUGAUAUAUUUGUAUGAAAUUGUAUACACAGUUUGUUAAAUGCAUGAGAAAGGAAAAAUAAAAAAAGAAAUUCUAU